AGAGUUUGAUCAUGGCUCAGAACGUACGCUGGCGGCACGCCUAACACAUGCAAGUCGAACGAAGUAGCAAUACUUAGUGGCAGACGGGUGAGUAACAUGUAGGUAUCUGCCCUUUGGCCUGGAAUAACACGAGGAAACUUGUGCUAAUACCGGAUAAGUCUUUACGGAGAAAGCUUUAUGCACCAUUGGAUGAGCCUGCACUUGAUUAGUUUGUUGGUGGGGUAAUGGCCUACCAAGACUGUGAUCAAUAGCUGAUUUGAGAGGAUGAUCAGCCACAUUGGGACUGAGACACGGCCCAAACUCCUACGGGAGGCAGCAGUGGGGAAUCUUGCACAAUGGAGGAAACUCUGAUGCAGCGAUGCCGCGUGAGUGAAGAAGGCCUUUGGGUUGUAAAGCUCUUUCGUCGGGGAAGAAAAUGACUGUACCCGAAUAAGAAGGUCCGGCUAACUUCGUGCCAGCAGCCGCGGUAAUAC
rnacentral:rRNA from 1 species